CGCUAAUACCGCAUACGAUCUACGGAUGAAAGUGGGGGAUCGCAAGACCUCAUGCUCGUGGAGCGGCCGAUAUCUGAUUAGCUAGUUGGUAGGGUAAAAGCCUACCAAGGCAUCGAUCAGUAGCUGGUCUGAGAGGACGACCAGCCACACUGGAACUGAGACACGGUCCAGACUCCUACGGGAGGCAGCAGUGGGGAAUUUUGGACAAUGGGCGAAAGCCUGAUCCAGCAAUGCCGCGUGAGUGAAGAAGGCCUUCGGGUUGUAAAGCUCUUUUGUCAGGGAAGAAACGGUGAGAGCUAAUAUCUCUUGCUAAUGACGGUACCUGAAGAAUAAGCACCGGCUAACUACGUGCCAGCAGCCGCGGUAAUACGUAGGGUGCGAGCGUUAAUCGGAAUUACUGGGCGUAAAGCGUGCGCAGGCGGUUAUGUAAGACAGAUGUGAAAUCCCCGGGCUCAACCUGGGAACUGCAUUUGUGACUGCAUGGCUAGAGUACGGUAGAGGGGGAUGGAAUUCCGCGUGUAGCAGUG
rnacentral:rRNA from 1 species